UGGCUAGACGAUUCUGCGACGUCGCCACUUUAGUUCUCAAUCAGGGGUUCUCCCAAGAGCCAGCGCCUCUGGCGGCAAGUCCGUGAUGUGCAGUCCAGACAGUUCCUGUUCCUGUCGACUGCAGGCUCCAACUUGAUCCUGCCUUCCGUUGCGACGUUCAAGUUUUGACUUGGUACAGCGAAUAAACUUGUUCAUCCCGACGAAGAUUUUAUGACCAAAAUAUUCCUGGAGGUUAAAUUAUUUUAUCUGAGUAAAAUAUUCACGGUCUACGAUUGAAAGCUCGUUCACGUUUCUCGCCACACAAGACGUCAACAGGCCGUUACUAAGAGACAGUCGACGCAGUACAACAAUGCUCUGACGUCACGUCUCGCAGUUUACACUUCCAACAAUCAGUUUGCUCACCAAGGUAUGCACUGUCGUAGCGGAAUAACGAUCCUGUACCAACUGCAUCAGCUACUUAACAUCGUAUAAUAAGAGAACGUUAAUCUCGUUCGGUGAAAUUGAAAGGCUUCGACUUAAAUCGUUCCUUCGUUGGCUUUUUCAAGGCGGACUACGCACUGCGAGGUAGAGCCACUAUGAAACCCGUCGUUUAGAGUAGGCGACCGGUUUAAAUCGGCCACGUCCAGAAGCAUUGCCGAAUUUAGAAUCCAGCGGUCUGUGUGUCAGCGCCCAGAAGGGGUGUCCAAUAGCCAUUUCUCGCACCGAUGCAUUUUCGCUGCUGAACACGCGUUUCGUGGUUGGCUUCACGCACGUUUCUGGACGCCGUUUAAAAUGGAGAGUGCGUUAAACUUAAAAGUAAUGAAUGAUUCUUCUCACGGCCAAGUUUGAGUUUUCGUUCGUUGUUGAAUUUCGAUGAGACCGACGCCGAGUGCUUAAUUCGCGCUCUUUCAGUGAUCACACCGACGCGUGUUAAUUAAUUGCAUUGUUUUUGUACCUGGUAAAUAAAAAGAAUAAAAGUACUGGAGAGGACUGAGAAACGACACUUGAAGAGGAAUUGAAAAUCCCCAACUGCAUCUCCCAGUGGCAACGCCAAUAGGGGCAGAUUGAGGAAUCGUCCAUAGAAACGUCUCUACCGCGAUUUGGGUCUCUGUUGUGUGCUCCUGCCGUUUCUAUGGACGAUUCCUCAAUCUGCCCCAACUUAAUUUUUGGCCCAGGAAAUCAUAAAGGAAAGUUCUUUCAUCACCACAAGAGACACAGUCACAAGCCAUGAGCAAUAUCUAUGCCGGACCUAACCUAACAACUACAACAAACACACACAUGUGAAGGCGCUUUCAUAUUAUCAAUACGUGGAAUAUGGACCUCUGUUACAGACAUGUGCUCGAUCAUCUCUCUUCUCCUGGGCUGGGUUAUCAUUUUUAUCGGUGUUUUUGCUCGGUGCCUUGUGAAAGAGUUUUUUUCAAAAGCAGGGAUGCUGAUUACUGAGCGUCGGAAUAGAUUGAGCAGCAAAGAAGCAAAAAUGCUUGUUUUUUUGAAUUGUAACCUGGGGAAUGUUAGUUACUUCUGUUAUUUUCUUGCAUGCAC